rnacentral:lncRNA from 1 species
GAGAGCGCCAAAGGUCUACAAUUUAGCUCAUGUACACAGCAAUGCUCUCUUCACUCUGCUCUGGAAUUUUGAAAGUUACUUAGCUAUUUUUAGUUCUACUUUAAUAAAAUAUGUAACUUUGAAUAACAUACUGUAGCUUCAAUUUUCUAUAUCCUAGCAAUAUUUAUUCCUUGUUUUUAGAGUCAGCAUUGAGACUGUCAGUUUUCUGUAGGUCCCUUUCCUGCCUGCCCUGGCUCCUAAUGUUUCUCGGUUGUGCCGUAACUUACAUAUCAUCAAGAUGCAUGAAAGAAGAGGCCAAAAGUUCAUAUUCUGCUCUAUAAUCGUAAGAAUUGGCUGUACAGUUCUUGUUUAAAGUCACUCAUACGUUGCAGUCAGAUGGCGACUGGGUUUGGAAGCAUCUUAAGGCAUCCUCACUGACACUGUGAUCUGAUGAAUCCUCUCACUAUAUGACCUCUCCACAUUACCCUGGGCUUCCUGUUGUCUGCAGUCUCAGGGUAGUCAGACUUACACUAUGCCGACUUCAUGCAGGAGACAUGCUCUAAGAAAUAGAAAAAUUCCUAUCUCUGAGGACCUUGGCUUAGAAACUGGCACAGUGUUUCUUCUACCAAAUUGUAUCGGUCAAAGCCAUCUCGAGGAACAACACAUUAGCAGUGUGUCUUAUAUCCCCCACCCAAAGAAAGCCACCAAAACAUGGCACUUUCUGUGACACAACCCAGCAACAAAUGAUGGUCCAGGCAGGUUUAUCCAUCCCUAUGCCGUUGCUGCCCCCCACCCCCACACAUCCAAUCUAACAACUGUCUCUCUGACAACAAUCAGGUGACACCAACACCACUAGCAAGGAAAGAUUGAUUGAGACCCCUGCUCAUAAUAAGCAGCAGGAAAGCAUUCUCUUUCACUGAGAUUCCCUGUCCUGCUGAGAGAGGAGGCGGAAAAGUGAAAUGGCAAAUAGGGUCCAAAGUACAGCAAGCAGCCUAGCUAGGGAAGCCUCUUUGUCUCCAGGGUAACAAGACUUUUCUCUACCUAGAGAAACUGAAGCAGUGGGAGGGAGAGGAGUCGGGGAAUGACAGCUCUAGGCAAGAUCCUAGCAUCAAGAAACAUCCUUCCCCCAUAGAAAGACAUCUGGUGGUACAACCUGGGGAGACCACAUCCACUCCCACAGGCCACACAAGUAGGGAGCAGUGGGAGCCUCAGAGGCGCCCAGUGAACCAACUACAUGAAAACAAUGUCUCAAAGGCUCCAAAGAUUCAUUAGUCACGGGAACUACAGCCCAUAAAAGCAGGUUAAAACCAACAAAUCAACAGGUUUGUUGCCAGCAAACCUGUCCUCAAUGGUUGGUUGUAGGAAAUUCUUCAAAAAGGUAACCUAAAUGGUGCAACUGCCUGAUAAUAUAAAAGAUCUAAAUAACACCCAGAUGAUAGAUAUGUUAAAUAGCUUGAUUUUGAUAGUUAUUUCUGAACGUGUACAUAUAUUAAAACAUUAUACCUUUAUACUUCAAUAAAUGUGCUAAAAUAUCAUUGUAAUUAUGAAAAUCUGGUAACGAUUUUAAUGUCAAGCAACAGCAGAGUGGUUAUAUGUAGCAGGAUACCAUUUAUAUACUGAAAUGUUAUGCAAUAAUUAAAAACAAUGCUUUGGAAUUAAAUUUGUUGAUGUUGAAUAAUGUUCAUAAUAUAUUGUUAAGUUAAAAAGCAAGUUGACUAAUUCAAUACCAUUUGGUAACAGAAUAAAGUAUGUAC